GACUCGAACAGUGGGCGCCUGAGCUCUCUCGUCUCCUCACCCGUCAGCAGCCGCAGGAGGUCUAAGUGAGUCUUACGUUUUGUUGGAUUGCAUUGCAGGAGAUCCAAGCGAUGUCUAAAAAUAUUAACAGGAGGUUAUUCGAAGCUAACCCCAGUCAAGACCAAUCCACUGAGGAAGAGCCUCAGAGUUCAGGAGAG